CAUGCAAGUCGAGCGAACAGAUAAGGAGCUUGCUCCUUUGACGUUAGCGGCGGACGGGUGAGUAACACGUGGGUAACYUACCUAUAAGACUGGAAUAACUCCGGGAAACCGGGGCUAAUGCCGGAUAACAUGUUGAACCGCAUGGUUCUACAGUGAAAGGCGGCUUUGCUGUCACUUAUAGAUGGACCCGCGCCGUAUUAGCUAGUUGGUGAGGUAACGGCUCACCAAGGCAACGAUACGUAGCCGACCUGAGAGGGUGAUCGGCCACACUGGAACUGAGACACGGUCCAGACUCCUACGGGAGGCAGCAGUAGGGAAUCUUCCGCAAUGGGCGAAAGCCUGACGGAGCAACGCCGCGUGAGUGAUGAAGGUCUUCGGAUCGUAAAACUCUGUUAUUAGGGAAGAACAAAUGCGUAAGUAACUGUGCGCGUCUUGACGGUACCUAAUCAGAAAGCCACGGCUAA
rnacentral:rRNA from 1 species